rnacentral:rRNA from 1 species
AGCGAACGUUUGCGGCGGGCUUAACACAUGCAAGUCGAACGAGAAUCCCUUCGGGGAGGAAAGUGGCGCACGGGUGCGUAACACGUGGAUAACCAACCCAUUGGUUUGGGACAACACCGGGAAACUGGUGCUAAUACCAGAUGUGUCGCAGCUGUCUUCAGGCGGUUGCGAGAAAGGCCCGCAAGGGUCGCCAACGGACGGGUCCGCGUCCCAUCAGCUAGUUGGUGAGGUAAUGGCUCACCAAGGCAAAGACGGGUAGCUAGUCUGAGAGGAUGAUCAGCCACACUGGAACUGAGACACGGUCCAGACUCCUACGGGAGGCAGCAGUGGGGAAUAUUGCGCAAUGGGCGAAAGCCUGACGCAGCCACGCCGCGUGAGCGAUGAAGGUCUUCGGAUCGUAAAGCUCUGUGGGGGGAGAAGAAGAAAGCCGGUGAAGAGCCGGCCCUGACGGUAUCCCCUUAGCAAGCACCGGCUAACUCCGUGCCAGCAGCCGCGGUAAAGU